rnacentral:rRNA from 1 species
ACGGGUGAGUAAAGCGUAGGAAUCUGCCCAGUUGAAUGGGAUAGCUUAGGGAAACUUAAGGUAAUACCGUAUAAGCCCGAGAGGGGAAAGCAGGGGACUGUUAGAGGCCUUGCGCGAUUGGAUGAGCCUACGUCGGAUUAGCUAGUUGGUGGGGUAAAGGCCUACCAAGGCGACGAUCCGUAGCUGGUCUGAGAGGACGACCAGCCACACUGGGACUGAGACACGGCCCAGACUCCUACGGGAGGCAGCAGUGGGGAAUAUUGGACAAUGGGCGCAAGCCUGAUCCAGCGAUGCCGCGUGUGUGAAGAAGGCCUGCGGGUUGUAAAGCACUUUCAGUGGGGAGAACGAGGCCUUGGAUAAUACCUGAGGUGGAAGGUGUUACCCACAGAAGAAGCACCGGCUAACUCUGUGCCAGCAGCCGCGGUAAUACAGAGGGUGCAAGCGUUAAUCGGAAUUACUGGGCGUAAAGGGUGCGUAGGUGGUUUGAUAAGUUAGAUGUGAAAGUCCUGGGCUCAACCUGGGGAUUGCGUCUGACACUGUCAGGCUAGAGUUCUGUAGAGGAAGGUGGAAUUUCCGGAGUAGC